rnacentral:rRNA from 1 species
GAUGAACGCUGGCGGCGUGCUUAACACAUGCAAGUCGAACGAUGAAGCCCAGCUUGCUGGGUGGAUUAGUGGCGAACGGGUGAGUAACACGUGAGUAACCUGCCCUUAACUCUGGGAUACGCCUGGGAAACUGGGUCUAAUACCGGAUAGGAGCGUCCACCGCAUGGUGGGUGUUGGAAAGAUUUAUGGGUUUUGGAUGGAUUCGCGGCCUAUCAGCUUGUUGGUGAGGUACUGGCUCACCAAGGCGACGACGGGUAGCCGGCCUGAGAGGGGGACCGGCCACACUGGGACUGAGACACGGCCCAGACACCUACGGGAGGCAGCAGUGGGGAAUAUUGCACAAUGGGCGCAAGCCUGAUGCAGAGACGCCGCGUGAGGGAUGACGGCCUUCGGGGUGUAAACCGCUUUCAGUAGGGAAGAAGCGAAAGUGACGGUACCUGCAGAAGAAGCACCGGCUAACUACGUG